GACGAACGCUGGCGGCGUGCUUAACACAUGCAAGUCGAACGGAAAGGCCCUGCUUUUGUGGGGUUCUCGAUUGGCGCACGGGUGAGUGACACGUGAGUAACCUGCCCUUGUCUUUGGGAUAACUUCAGGGAACAGGGGCUAAUACCGGGUAGGAUCUCCUGCUCCAUGGUGGGGGUUGGAGAGUUUCGGCUGUUGUGGCUGGACUCGCGGGUUACCCGCUUGUUGGUGGGGUUGUGGCUUACAAAGCGUUCGACGGGUAGCCGGCAUGGGAGGGUUGCCGGGCACAUUGGGACUGCGAGACGGACCAGAAGGCAACGGGAGGCAGCAGUGGGGAAUAUUACACAAUGGGCGGAAGCGUGAUGCAGCAACGUCGCGUGCGGGAUGCCGGCUUUCUGGUUGUAAACCGCUUUCGCCUGUGACGAAGAGUGAGUGACGGUAAUGGGUAAAGAAGCACCGGCUAACUACGUG
rnacentral:rRNA from 1 species